AGAGUUUGAUCCUGGCUCAGGAUGAACGCUGGCGGUGUGCUUUAUGCAUGCAAGUCGAACGAUGAAGCAGAGCUUGCUCUGUGAAUUAGUGGCAAACGGGUGAGUACAAGAUAGGCAACCUACCUCGAAGACGGGAAUAUACGGCAGAAAUGCCGGGCAAUAACCGAUAAUGUCUCUUCCUUCAAGGGUUGAGAAGAAAGGUGCAAACCGCUUUGAGACGGGCUUAUCUCCUAUCACGGCAGUUGGUAAGGUAACGGCUUACCAAACCUACGACGGGUAGCUGGUCUGAGAGGACGGUCAGCCACAUUGGGACUGAGACACGGCCCAGACUCCUACGGGAGGCAGCAGCCGGGAAUAUUCGGCAAUGGGCGAAAGCCUGACCGAGCGACACCGCGUGAGCGACGAAGGCCUUCGGGUCGUAAAGCUCUUUUAUUUGGGAAGAAUGCAUAGUAAUAUGUUUGACGGUACCAUUUGAAUAAGCCCCAGCUAACUACGUGCCAGCAGCUGCGGUAAUACGUAGGGGGCAAGCGUUAUCCGGAAUCACUGGGCGUAAAGGGUCCGCAGGUGUCCCGUUAAGUUAGAUGUUAAAUCGCAAGGCUCAACCUUGCGGCUGCAUCUAAUACCGACAGGAUAGAGGAUAGGUGACGGAAGUGGAAUUCCUGGUGGAGAGGUAAAAUCCGUAGAUAUCAGAGGAACACCCGUGGCGUAGCGGCUUCCGAACCUAUUCCUGACACUCAGGACGAAAGCUAGGGAGCAAACAGGAUUAGAUACCCUGUAGUCCUAGCUGUAAACGAUGAAUACUAGAUAGUGG
rnacentral:rRNA from 1 species